rnacentral:rRNA from 1 species
GUUAGGAAUAUUGGACAAUGGGCGCAAGCCUGAUCCAGCCAUGCCGCGUGAACGAUGAAGGCCUUCGGGUUGUAAAGUUCUUUAGCCGAUGAUUAUAAUGACUGUAGUCGGAAAAUAAGCCCCGGCUAACUUCGUGCCAGCAGCCGCGGUAAUACGAAGGGGGCGAGCGUUAGUCGGAAUCACUGGGCGUAAAGCGUGCGUAGGCGGUCUCGUAAGUUAGGAGUGAAAGCCCAGGGCUCAACCUUGGAAUUGCUCUUAAAACUGCAAGGCUAGAAUCUCGGAGAGGAUAGCGGAAUUUCCAGUGUAGCAGUGAAAUGCGUAGAUAUUGGAAGGAACACCAGUGGCGUAAGCGGCUAUCUGGACGAGUAUUGACGCUGAGGCACGAAAGCGUGGGGAUCAAACAGGAUUAGAAACCCUGGUAGUCC